AACCUCCGCAAUGUGAGAAAUCGCGACGGGGGGAUCCCAAGUGCCAUUCUUAACGGGAUGGCUUUUCAUUAGUGUAAAGAGCUUUUGGAAUAAGGGCUGGGCAAGACCGGUGCCAGCCGCCGCGGUAACACCGGCAGCUCUAGUGGUAGCAGUUUUUAUUGGGCCUAAAGCGUCCGUAGCCGGUUUAAUAAGUCUCUGGUGAAAUCCUGUAGCUUAACUGUGGGAAUUGCCGGAGAUACUAUUAGACUUGAGACCGGGAGAGGUUAGAGGUACUCUCAGGGUAGAGGUGAAAUUCUGUAAUCCUGGGAGGACCGCCUGUUGCGAAGGCGUCUAACUGAAACGGUUCUGACGGUGAGGGACGAAAGUUAGGGGCGCGAACCGGGAUUAGAUACCCGGGUAGUCCUAACCGUAAACGAUGCGGACUUGGUGUUGGGGUGGCUUUGAGCUGCUCCAGUGCCGAAGGGAAGCUGUUAAGUCCGCCGCCUGGGAGUACGGUCGCAAGACUGAAACUUAAAGGAAUU
rnacentral:rRNA from 1 species